rnacentral:rRNA from 1 species
AAUGAACGCUGGCGGCGCGCCUAAUACAUGCAAGUCGAGCGAGAAGACGUAGCAAUACGUUUGUAAAGCGGCGAACGGGUGAGGAAUACAUGGGUAACCUACCCUCGAGUGGGGAAUAACUAGCCGAAAGGUUAGCUAAUACCGCGUACGCUUCUUGGACUUCGGUUCAGGGAGGAAAGCGAUGCCGAGGGUAUCGCGCUCUUGGAUGGGCUCAUGUCCUAUCAGCUUGUUGGNGAGGUAACGGCUCACCAAGGCUUCGACGGGUAGCUGGUCUGAGAGGACGAUCAGCCACACUGGCACUGCGACACGGGCCAGACUCCUACGGGAGGCAGCAGUAAGGAAUAUUGCGCAAUGGGCGAAAGCCUGACGCAGCGACG